CGGGAAAGAGACGGAGGACUGCAGGUGUGAGGGCGCGGCAAUGUGACGUCCUGAGGGCCGUGGCUCAGCUGCUGCACUCUGUUCUGUCAGGCUUUGUGGUGGAUUGGGUGUGAGCGUACCUGCUGUCCCUCUGUGGGGCAGGUCUCCAGGAACGGAGUUCACAGUGUCAGGCCUCAGGCCUUUCUGCCUCCCACCGCCAGUUUGCCACGCGGUCCCGUGACAGCUUAUGUGGGUAUUUUCUCAAAACGUCACACCAGUGACUUAGGGGACUUGUUCCCUCUCAGAUUCAAGUUGACCUCGUCCCGACCAAAGACAGCAACUUCCGUUACUGCUGUGGCCCAGAUUUCUCAGGGAAAGAUAAAAUGAAUAAGAAGAGGCAGCGGAACUCAGCUCCAGUACCACAUAAACCAGAAGGGGUAACGGACAGCUGUAACCUCAGCGCUGGGGACCUGGAGGCAGAAGGAUCAGAAGUUCAAGACCAUCCUGAGCUACAUAGGGGCAGCCUCCAUCCCUCAAAGCCUUCUAAGAACCCACGGCUGAGAGACCCCCGUGGAAGCCCCCAGAGGUCCAUGACGGUCCAUUCACACCACUCCAGAGAGUCAGAAGACAGCUCAGAACCUGCUCCUUCUGUAGAGCCAGCUGGGGAGGAACCACAACCGGCAGCUUCCAGCUGCCCAGUGGAGGACACAGGAGCUGCCUCUGACCUCCCAGGAUCACCAA
rnacentral:lncRNA from 1 species